UAAUAUUAAAAUCAAAAUUUAAAAAAAGAACAAUAAUAACCGUGGCGACUCAUAAUGAGGUCGGGUUCAAGUGACACGCGGUCUGCUGUACCCUGCGGCGAAGAGUGACAACUGUAGCGUGACUGUCGUUUACAAGUUUACAUUUGAAACCUUUACAGUUCUGAGCAGUUUUACCAUUACAUUAAAGUUUGCUAAAAUAACAAAAAUUUUACAUCUCUCUGUAACCAAGUGAGCAACUCAAAUCCUUCUCACAUCUGUGAUUUUGCUCACAUUGUUCUGUUUCUGUUUGACAGAUUGCUUGGAAAAAAAAAAAAAAUAAAAAAUUCUACGCCUCAAGGGUGACUGCUCCAGGAUGCCGUCGUUGAUAGGUAAAAAGUCCCAGAGACAAUAGGGUCAGUGAUCGGCAUUCACCGUACCCAGUACACAGCACAAGUAAGUAUCGAACCGGCAAUCCUUUAAUCCACACGAGUGUAGACGCUAUACUUUGUUUACCUUUGUAGACACAGGGACAUCAGAUUUUAUUUGCAGAGACGUACAAGGGUAAAUUUUAUUUUUGCCUUUUAAUGUAAGACGAGAAAUGAUUUCAAGUCGGAUUUCGAUAUUCCAUGCUCUGAAGAAUAAAAGGCAUUAUAAUUAUGUUUGUUUGCUUGUUUGCAUAUUGCAGAUGAAAUGAAACCUGAAACGAAAGUUUCAAGUUUGAUCGAUGAAUGGAAAAAAACCCAACAACAAUAACAACAACAAACAACAAAAAAAAAAAAAAAAAAAAAAACAACACCAAAAACUAACAAAGCUACACAGUUUCAAAAUGUGUUCUUUUGUGAUAUUUGAAACGGUACAAAGGUAGAUAGUUUUCUCAAAUAAAGUCAUCUUAGCGGCGUCUGCUUUGUAAGGCAGAAGUUUGCACGUGAUACCUGCUUUGUUUACGCUGACUUGAACACACCUGUGCCGGAACAACAUCCUUUGUUAUGAGGGUGCAGCUUGCUGCUUACUCAGCUGUGAAAGAUCGAUGUUCCCUCUCUACAUAUAUCGAUAUUCUCAUGGUUUUCCUGUGGUGAAGUGUCAGUCAUUUGUUGCAUUUUUUCUGCCACCGAUUUUUUGUUUACAUCUUCACUCACCCGGAGGGCUGUUGCAACUGUGAUUUCUUUUCUUUGAUUCUAAUCUAUAGCGUUGAAUGUUUCACUGGUAAUCCACUGGCCAGACGUACCCAGCGGUACCCACGUUCCCCCGCCAUUGUCUUCCAGGUCUCUGUGACAGUCCUUAUGGGCAGGGUUAUAGGGUUAUUAUUCUCCCCCCUCCCCACGACUCUUGUUCCCGGGGACUUUCCGCCUGAUUACUCCCACGCCGCCAUGGCACCAGCCUUGCGAUCUCACGGUACCCUGGCAAAUGGCCGUGUGAAGUGGACUUGAACUUUGUUCAGCUACAUUUUACUGCUGGAAACCAGGAAGGCGUGCUCGGUGCCGUUCUCAUUGUCUCUUUCACCCAGCUCAUUGAGCCACCCGAACAUCAAAGAGUAGCCUCCACUCAAAUGACGCUUUUCGCGGCAGCUGGUGUUUUUCGGGGUGGCAGCGGGACGGGUGUGUGUGUGUGGGGUGGGGUUGGGGUAGAGAGUAAGAAUGGGUGGUGGAAAAUGGGUGUCAGCCACGUGUCGCUGUGUGACGUACUAGCCGGGGGACGUAACAGGACGUUUUCAGCCUCCGAGGCCAGCGGGCUGGUUUUUUUUUUUUUUAUUAUUAUUCGUUCAGAUGUUCAGCCUUCGUCCCUCCUGCCAUACUAUAGCCUAAAUCACAACCAGACAAUGUAAAGGGCUUGCAGCCCCAGUCCGUCAAUAGAUGAUUAAGCUGGACAGGAAGCCUCUGUAUGUAAUCAAAGAGUUUGUAGGAGUCCCCCUUUGAACUUGUACAGACUGAAUUCCGUUCUUUGGAGAUCAGAGGGAACACUGCCAGAAUAUUUCAGGCUCGUCUUGAAUAUGUCAGUUCUCGCUAAGGCAUCAUUUAGUAGUCAUGGUGACAAUACCAACUCCGAAAGUCAAUCAAGGAUUUGUAGAAACUAAUAGGGAAAAUUUCCCAGGUGUCUCUGGUUCUGUUGUUAGCAUCUUUUUCUUUCUUUCUUUUUUUUUUUUUUUUAAAAAGAUUUCACUGUUCACUAUGCUUGUGUUAUUCGAAUGUUUAUUUAUACUUUACCAUGCUGAUACAACGCAAAUAUUUAUUUGACCUCCGCAAUUAUGAUAUUUAGUAAAUAUCUUGCAAGUGCCAUUCUCCCUUUAACAAACUCGUGUGUUUAUUGCAGGUGGAGGGGCGGGCAGCGAUAGGGAGUGUAAUUAUACGAAUAGAAAACAACAAAAAAGCUAUACAUAUAUUUACCUCAUGUUGUAUAUUUGUAAAAUCUGUGUAACAUUAGAUGAGCGCACGAGUUCAAGCGGUCAUAGGGCUACCGCUCCGCCCUUCCCCUCUCACCCUCCUGUGGUUGUCGUCGCGUUGUCACGUGACGUGAACGAGCUUCACACCGCGACAGAUGGCACGAUCAUUACGUGCACGCAAGAUAACGGGCCGAGGUGGCAGCUGUUUGUCUGCCAAGAAAGCCUUCGACAGCAGGCGAAGAAGUGCCCAACCUGUCGCCAGGUAAAAUCAACACCCUUUCCAUCCACAGCCGCACUUAUGUUAUAACCGCUCAGUUAUCGCAACCAUGGCUACGAGAAAGGCCUCGGCUUUUGGCAAGGUGUACGAAGCUACCUUAUCAACUUUGCACACGUUAUCCCGAAUCACAAUUCUCCAGGUUUUGUUUGACCAGAUUCAUUGUUGUUAGUGCCAUCUUAUGCUUUGUUGGAAGGAGAAACAGCUUUCCUGAGUGAUUGUUCAAGAUACGUUCUUUUUAAACGAAGAUUUUCCUAACUAGGAAGAACAAAACAUAUCUGGAUAUCAGUCAGCAAAGCUACUCAUACUUUAUUAAACAUUUUGCAUCCAGUUAGAGUGACUGUGCACAGGUUCUGUCUAUUGCUUUUGUCAGCUAACAAUUUACAUCAGGAGAGAGGAGAGAGUGGUAAUGGUAUCUAGGUGUCAAGUCACCUGUUGUGACUGCAUCCUGCAAAGAUUUUCACAGGGGCUAAGGCUCUUGUCACUAUGACACUGAAAAUGCAUCUGUAUGUAAAAGUGAUUUGUACCUAGAUCUACAGUAUUGGUAAAACAUAAGAAUUUUUUGUGAAAUUGUGCAUGUGAAAAAAUGCACAUAUCUUCAGCAAAAUUAAAUGACAACCACCCUAUUUACUUACAUUUUAAUAGGUGUUCUCUUUACCAAAGAACAAAAUUCAUCCACACAAAAAUAUAAUUGCAGAUUUGGAAUGUUUUUAAUCAUGAUUUUGCCAUUUAUGUCAGAAAAGACACCACAAUGAAAAUAAUUCCUUGAAUGGGUGAUGCCCUUUCCAUCUUGAGAUGACAAGACAAUCAUUAUGAAGUCAACAUCAAAAUGUGUCACAGCUGAUAGUGUGCUUGCAUAUAAGCAUAAGCAUCAAUAAAUAUUUGCACUUGAAUGUUACAGGUCAUAGUUAUAAACACUUAUUUUUAAAAAAUAAUAAUUUUAAUAUCUGCCUCAAUUACACUGCCAAAAAUUACAAAAUAAGAAAACAAA